GCACAAUGUACUAAAUACUUUUAGUUUUAUAUUGUAUUAUUUUUUUAUUUCAUGGUUCAGUUUUGAGAAUACAAAUAAAAUGUCUGUAGUUUAAUAGUGCAUCAACAGACUUUAUUCUGUAGCUCAUUGAGUGCAUUUAUUUCCUCAAUCUCUCUAAAACCCAUUAGAGAAUGGUUUAUACUAAUCAUAAAUGAAGAGCGGCAAAUAAACUUAUUUUUAUUGUUGUCUUUAUUCAUGUAUAUUUGUCUUUUAUGCUUUGCUUUGUUCCUCUG
rnacentral:lncRNA from 1 species